CCUACGGCGGUCUGCAGUGGGGAAUAUUGCACCAUGGGGGAAACCCUGAUGCAGCGACGCCGCGUGAGUGAAGAAGUAUUUCGGUAUGUAAAGCUCUAUCAGCAGGGAAGAAAAUGACGGUCCCUGAUUAUGAAGCCCCGGCUAACUACUUGCCAGCAGCCGCGGCAAGCCGGAGGGGGCAAGCGUUAUCCGGAUUUACUAGGGGUAAAGGGAGCGUAGACGGCAGCGGAAGUCUGACGUGAAAUGCCGGGGCUUAACCCCGGAACUGCUUUGGAAACUGUGCAGCUAGAGUGCAGGAGAGGUAAGGGGAAUUCCUAGUGUAGCGGUGAAAUGCGUAGAUAUUAGGAGGAACACCAGUGGCGAAGGCGGCUUACUGGACUGUAACUGACGUUGAGGCUCGAAAGCGUGGGGAGCAAACAGGAUUAGAUACCCGAGUAGUC
rnacentral:rRNA from 1 species